CAAGCAGCUCUGUCAUCAUGGCCUGGAUUCCUGUCCUCCUCGUGGUCCUCUCUCAUUGCACAGGUUCCCUGUCCCAGCCUGUGCUGACCCAGCCGCCCUCCUUCUCUGCAUCCCUGGGAUCAACAGCCAGACUCACCUGCACCCUGAGCAGUGGAUUCAGUGUUGGCAGCUACUACAUAAACUGGUUCCAGCAGAAGCCAGGGAGCCCUCCCAGGUUUCUCCUGUGGUUCUACUCAAACUCAAAUAAGUACCAGGGCCCUGGGGUCCCCAACCGCUUCUCUGGCUCCAAGGACACCUCGGCCAAUGCAGGGCUCCUGCUCAUCUCCGGGCUGCAGCCUGAGGACGAGGCUGACUACUACUGUGCUACGGGUCAUGGCAGUGGGAGCAGCUACACUUACCCACAGUGUCUCAGCUGA